UCUCUUCAAGCCGUCGAAAGCUCCCAUUUUUCGAUGUCAUCCUUAGUUUCUUCAUGGAUUUCGACGAACAACCCAAUGUGCACUUGUGGGAAGCUCGCAAAACUUAGAACAUCGAAUACGCCAAAAAAUCCGGGCCGAUCAUUUUUUGGAUGUCCAAACUACAAUACAGAGGUAUUACCACACUGCAACUAUUUCAAAUGGGCAAAUUACAGUGAGAAAAGAGAAACAAAACUCUUCAAGAUAGACGAUGAGUUGUUAAGAAAUGAGGAAGAGUUUCGAAGAAGAGAUGAAGAGAUUGUAAAGUAUAAGUUGGGAAUUCACAAUGACCAACUUGAUAUUCAAAGACAACAAGCAGACAUCCGGCGUGAACGCACACUACUUCGUGUAUGUUGGAUUAUUUUUAUAUUAAUUUCAUUGUAUUGCGUCUGUAAACAAUGAAACCAUAUUACUAGAGGGAACUUUGUAUAUACUUUUGUGGCCUUUGUUGUGUAUAACCUUAAGCAACUAGUUGAGAAAUUGAGAUGUAAACGAUGCAUGCGCAUCAAUGUUCUUGUAUAUAACUUAUCUAUGUAUGAA